UACAGAGGGGGCAAGCGUUGUUCGGAAUUACUGGGCGUAAAGGGCGCGUAGGCGGCCUGUUAAGUCGAACGUGAAAUCCCCGGGCUCAACCCGGGAACUGCGUCCGAUACUGGCAGGCUUGAAUUCGGGAGAGGGAUGUGGAAUUCCAGGUGUAGCGGUGAAAUGCGUAGAUAUCAGGAGGAACACCUGCGGUGUAGACGGCUUACUGGACCAUAACUGACGCUGAGGCACGAAAGCGUGGGUAGCAAACAGG
rnacentral:rRNA from 1 species